rnacentral:rRNA from 1 species
AUUAUUUAGAGAUAAGUAGUGCCGUUCUUUGAACGGAACUUAGAGACAGGUGCUGCAUGGCUGUCGUCAGCUCGUGCCGUGAGGUGUUGGGUUAAGUCCCGCAACGAGCGCAACCCUAUUUUUAGUUGCCAUCAGGUUAAGCUGGGCACUCUAAAGAGACUGCCGUCGAUAAGGCGGAGGAAGGUGGGGACGACGUCAAGUCAUCAUGGCCCUUAUGUCUAGGGCUACACACGUGCUACAAUGGGUUAUACAGAGGGCAGCUAGCUCGCGAGAGUCUGCGAAUCCCUUAAAGUAAUCCUCAGUUCGGAUUGUAGUCUGCAACUCGACUACAUGAAGUUGGAAUCGCUAGUAAUCGCAGGUCAGCAAAACUGCGGUGAAUACGUUCCCGGGCCUU